AACGCGAAGAACCUUACCUACCCUUGACAUCCUAAGAAUCUGGCAGAGAUGCUGGAGUGCCGAAAGGAAUUUAGAGACAGGUGCUGCAUGGCUGUCGUCAGCUCGUGUUGUGAGAUGUUGGGUUAAGUCCCGUAACGAGCGCAACCCUUAUCCUUAGUUGCCAACAUGUAAUGGUGGGGACUCUAAGGAGACUGCUGGUGAAGAACCGGAGGAAGGCGGGGACGACGUCAAGUCAUCAUGGCCUUUAUGGGUAGGGCUACACACGUGCUACAAUGGGCAGUACAGAGGGAAGCGAAACUGCGAAGUGGAGCCGAUCCCAGAAAGCUGUUCGUAGUCCGGAUCGAAGUCUGCAACUCGACUUCGUGAAGUCGGAAUCGCUAGUAAUCGCGAAUCAGAAUGUCGCGGUGAAUACGUUCCCGGGCCUUGUACACACCGGAGUGC
rnacentral:rRNA from 1 species